CGCGAAGAACCUUACCUGGUCUUGACAUCCACAGAACUUUCCAGAGAUGGAUUGGUGCCUUCGGGAACUGUGAGACAGGUGCUGCAUGGCUGUCGUCAGCUCGUGUUGUGAAAUGUUGGGUUAAGUCCCGCAACGAGCGCAACCCUUAUCCUUUGUUGCCAGCGGUCCGGCCGGGAACUCAAAGGAGACUGCCAGUGAUAAACUGGAGGAAGGUGGGGAUGACGUCAAGUCAUCAUGGCCCUUACGACCAGGGCUACACACGUGCUACAAUGGCGCAUACAAAGAGAAGCGACCUCGCGAGAGCAAGCGGACCUCAUAAAGUGCGUCGUAGUCCGGAUUGGAGUCUGCAACUCGACUCCAUGAAGUCGGAAUCGCUAGUAAUCGUGGAUCAGAAUGCCACGGUGAAUACGUUCCCGGGCCUUGUACACACCGCCCGUCACACCAUGGGAGUGGGUUGCAAAAGAAGUAGGUAGCUUAACCUUCGGGAGGGCGCUUACCACUUUGUGAUUCAUGACUGGGGUGAAGUCGUAACAAGGUAACCGUAGGGGAACCUGCGGUUGGAUCACCUCCUU
rnacentral:rRNA from 1 species